UAGGGAAUCUUCCACAAUGGACGCGAGUCUGAUGGAGCAACGCCGCGUGAGUGAAGAAGGGUUUCGGCUCGUAAAGCUCUGUUGGUAGUGAAGAAAGAUAGAGGUAGUAACUGGCCUUUAUUUGACGGUAAUUACUUAGAAAGUCACGGCUAACUACGUGCCAGCAGCCGCGGUAAUACGUAGGUGGCAAGCGUUGUCCGGAUUUAUUGGGCGUAAAGCGAGUGCAGGCGGUUCAAUAAGUCUGAUGUGAAAGCCUUCGGCUCAACCGGAGAAUUGCAUCAGAAACUGUUGAACUUGAGUGCAGAAGAGGAGAGUGGAACUCCAUGUGUAGCGGUGGAAUGCGUAGAUAUAUGGAAGAACACCAGUGGCGAAGGCGGCUCUCUGGUCUGCAACUGACGCUGAGGCUCGAAAGCAUGGGUAGCGAACAGGAUUAGAUACCCUGGUAGUCCAUGCCGUAAACGAUGAGUGCUAAGUGUUGGGAGGUUUCCGCCUCUCAGUGCUGCAGCUAACGCAUUAAGCACUCCGCCUGGGGAGUACGACCGCAAGGUUG
rnacentral:rRNA from 1 species